AUUACUUUGGCAGAUUAGUGCAGUAAAUUUAGAAUUUAUGUAUGUACGGAUAGUACAGGUAAUA
rnacentral:tRNA from 2 species